GCUAGCUGAAGAGCUAACGUUAGCUGUGGAAGACAACGCUUAGAGGACCUCGGGACUGACAACACAGGCGCAAUUCUCCACUAAAGAAAGGCCCUGUUGGUUCAGCUAGCUUCUGAGAGGGACUUUCAACCCGAACACCUGCAGCAUGCAACUAUUCUCAAAGGGUUACAGCUCCAACCACGGACCCCCGUUGUACGCGUCAACCAAUCGCCUAAAGCUCCCAGCGCCACAUCUGCUGCAUCCGUACGACGGCGAGGCAGCGCGCGGUAGGACGCAUCCAAACCGAGGACCUCGCCUGAAUAAUAUUAAUUAAACCUCCCUAACUAA